GUAGUCAUGGCCAAGAGGUUAAGGCGAUGGACUAGAAAUCUACUGGGGUUUGCCCAUACAGGUUCAAAUCCUGCUGACUAUG
rnacentral:tRNA from 2 species